rnacentral:sRNA from 1 species
AUUCAGCCCCGAUGGAAGCGGCAUCCUUUUAUGGCGGUGUUCGCCAUAAAAGAUAUAGCGGACAGCGGGAACACUG